GUGGGGAAUUUUGGACAAUGGGCGAAAGCCUGAUCCAGCAAUGCCGCGUGCAGGAUGAAGGCCCUCGGGUUGUAAACUGCUUUUGUACGGAACGAAAAGCCUGGGGCUAAUAUCCCCGGGUCAUGACGGUACCGUAAGAAUAAGCACCGGCUAACUACGUGCCAGCAGCCGCGGUAAUACGUAGGGUGCAAGCGUUAAUCGGAAUUACUGGGCGUAAAGCGUGCGCAGGCGGUUUUGUAAGACAGUGGUGAAAUCCCCGGGCUCAACCUGGGAACUGCCAUUGUGACUGCAAGGCUAGAGUGCGGCAGAGGGGGAUGGAAUUCCGCGUGUAGCAGUGAAAUGCGUAGAUAUGCGGAGGAACACCGAUGGCGAAGGCAAUCCCCUGGGCCUGCACUGACGCUCAUGCACGAAAGCGUGGGGAGCAAACAGGAUUAGAUACCCUAGUAGUCC
rnacentral:rRNA from 1 species